AUGCCAAUUUGUGUGAAAAUUAUUCAUGUUAUUUUCAUUUUUCCUGGUAGUCAUCUCCACCACAUGGAACCAGGUAACAAUACACAAUUUUCUGAAUUUUUUCUUCUGGGAUUCUCAGAAGAUCCAGAAUUGCAGCCCCUCAUCUUUGGACUUUUCCUCUCCAUGUACCUGAUCGUUGUGUUUGGAAACCUGCUCAUCAUCCUGGCCACCAUCUCUGACUCCCACCUUCACAUCCCCAUGUACUUCUUCCUCUCCAACUUGUCCUUUGUAGACAUCUGCUUAACCUCCACCACCAUCCCAAAGAUGCUGCAGAAUAUCGAGAACCAGAGCAAAGCCAUAACCUACGAAGGCUGCAUCGUUCAGGUAUAUUUUUAUAUAUUCUUUGCCGGAAUAGAUGACUUCCUCCUGACAGUGAUGGCCUAUGACCGCUUUGUGGCUAUUUGCCACCCCCUGCACUACACAGUCAUCAUGAACCCUCAGCUCUGUGGACUGCUGGUAUUGAUGUCCUGGAUGAUGAGUGCUAUGAAUUCUUUGUUACAAAGUUUACUGGCUUUGAAGCUGACCUUCUGUACAGAGGUGGAAAUUCCCCACUUUUUUUGUGAGCUCAGUCAGAUGGUCCAACUUGCCUGCUCUAACACCUUUCUUAAUGACAUGGUGAUGUAUGUGGCAUCAGUGCUACUAGCUGGUGGGCCAUUUGCUGGUGUCCUUUACUCUUACUCUAAGAUAGUCUCUGCCAUACGAAGAAUCUCAUCAACUCAGGGAAAGCUUAAAGCAUUUUCCACUUGUGCAUCUCAUCUCUCAGUUGUCUUCUUAUUUUAUUGUACGAGCCUGGGAGUGUACCUUAGCUCUGCUGCUACACACAGCUCACGCUCAAGUGCAACAGCCUCUGUGAUGUACACUGUGGUCACACCCAUGCUGAACCCAUUCAUCUACAGUUUGAGGAACAAAGACAUAAAGAGAGCUCUGAAGAGAGUCUAUGGAAUAAUAGCUAUAAAAAGGCCAAUUGUCCUGGGGCAGAUGAAGUGCCCUUGA
rnacentral:lncRNA from 1 species